UACGAAGGGGGCUAGCGUUGCUCGGAAUCACUGGGCGUAAAGCGCACGUAGGCGGAUUGUUAAGUCAGGGGUGAAAUCCUGGAGCUCAACUCCAGAACUGCCUUUGAUACUGGCGAUCUUGAGUCCGGGAGAGGUGAGUGGAACUCCGAGUGUAGAGGUGAAAUUCGUAGAUAUUCGGAAGAACACCAGUGGCGAAGGCGCUCACUGGCCCGGUACUGACGCUGAUGUGCGAAAGCCAGGGGAGCAAACGGG
rnacentral:rRNA from 1 species